UACAGAGGUCUCGAGCGUUAGGCGGAAUCGCUGGGCUUAAAGCGUGUGUAGGCGGAUGCCUAAGUACCUUGUGAAAUCCCACAGCUUAACUGUGGAACUGCUUGGUAUACUGGGUGUCUUGAGCCACUCAGGGGCGAGCGGAACAAAUGGUGGAGCGGUGAAAUGCGUAGAUAUCAUUUGGAACGCCAAUGGUGAAAACAGCUCGCUGGGGGUGUGCUGACGCUGAGACACGAAAGCCAGGGGAGCGAACGGG
rnacentral:rRNA from 1 species